AUCGAGCAAGGGAUAGAAGUGGCAUCCUUUUAUUUGACCGUCAGGCGGAAAAUAAAAGAUAUAGCGAAUAGCCCGACCCCUU
rnacentral:sRNA from 1 species